ensembl:lncRNA novel transcript, antisense to MED13L
UUUGCAGAGUGUAGCAGGUUCCUUGGACUGAGGUUGCAGGGAGAAGGAACUGAGCCAGAGAGAACAAGUGCUUUUCCAAUUAAAGUAUAUUCAUGAUGGCAUUGUACAACUGAGUGAGCACCACAAAGUGGACGGGAAGGCAGGAAGUACGGUCCUGGGUGGCCGGAUUGCACGUGAGCCAGGACAGAGCGUUGUACUGCUCCAAAACAAACCUGCCAAAGAGAACACACAGAGCAGGGGCGUGAGCCUCAAGAGGGAAGGCUGGUUCUCAGAUUCUAAUACAUUCCAGAUCUUAGCAGGAAGGAGGUCUCAAAGGCAUUCCUUAACUUGCCCCAGGCUCUUUCCCUCAUCCUUUGUCUCAUGUUCCUCCUUCCUUCUAGAUAUGGACUAUCCAGUACAGCCUGUAUAUUUUCUCAAGGUAGAUGAAGAAUGCCUGUGGCUUGAUUAAUACACACUUCUGGAAUGCACUUCUCAACUAUGUCAUUUAUGUUCUAGUCCAUU